rfam:Ovis aries breed Texel chromosome 1, whole genome shotgun sequence.
UCCUUGGUGGUCCAAUGGUUAAGACUCCCUGCUCCCAGUGCAGGAGGCCCAGGUUUGAUCCCUGGUCAGGGUG